UACGGAGGAUGCGAGCGUUAUCCGGAUUCAUUGGGUUUAAAGGGUGCGUAGGCGGACUUAUAAGUCAGUGGUGAAAUCCUGCAGCUUAACUGUAGCACUGCCAUUGAUACUGUUAGUCUUGAGUUUGGUUAAGGUAGGCGGAAUGUGUAAUGUAGCGGUGAAAUGCUUAGAUAUUACCCAGAACACCAAUUGCGAAGGCAGCUUACGGGACCGAUACUGACGCUGAUGCACGAAAGCGUGGGGAGCGAACAGG
rnacentral:rRNA from 1 species